rnacentral:rRNA from 1 species
AGAUUGAACGCUGGCGGCAUGCCUUACACAUGCAAGUCGAACGGUAGAGUAGCAAUACUCGAGAGCGGCGAACGGGUGAGUAAUAUAUCGGAACGUGCCCAGUCGUGGGGGAUAACGUAGAGAAAUUUACGCUAAUACCGCAUACGAUCUAAGGAUGAAAGCGGGGGACUCGCAAGAGCCUCGCGCGAUUGGAGCGGCUGAUAUCAGAUUAGGUUGUUGGUGAGGUAAAAGCGUCACCAAGCCGACGAUCUGUAGCGU